rnacentral:rRNA from 1 species
UCCGUAGGUGGAUAAUUAAGUCAGGGGUGAAAGUCUGCAGCUCAACUGUAGAAUUGCCUUUGAUACUGGUUAUCUUGAAUUAUUAUGAAGUAGUUAGAAUAUGUAGUGUAGCGGUGAAAUGCAUAGAUAUUACAUAGAAUACCAAUUGCGAAGGCAGAUCACUAACAAUAUAUUGACACUGAUGGACGAAAGCGUGGGGAGCGAACAGGAUUAGAUACCCUGGUAGUCC